AUUGAAAAUUACACGAUCAUUGAAUUUUUUGUUCCAAAAUGAUUGUGUAAUUUAAAUAGCUUUGUUGAUUUGCUUUCAAUACGGAUUCACUGCAUGAAUGAUCCUAAGUUUGUGGGAGAUAUUUCUCUUUUUAUCACUCUUGUUUGAUUUGUGAACUUGUUAUCAACUCAUUCUUAUUUCUUUGAUUUUAAGGAGUAAAUGUAAUUUUGCUUAUUGUGCUUCUACAUGUUUCUUGACAAAUGCUAAAUUGUCCAGACACCUGUUCUGAAUUGCUUUUUCCAAUUGAUGCAUUGACAUGGAUGUGAUUUAUUGAAAAAUUGGGAUGACUAUGGAGAAGUAGUAUGGGGAUUGUUUCAUGUGAUUUUGUGUUCCUCACUCCUUGUAUUGAUAGCUCAGCUAUGUUGGUGGAUUAUAUGGCUGAACUUUUUGGAUAUAAAUUAUAGACUAGCUGAAUGCUUAUGAUUCAUGGUGUUCACCACUUUUCUUCUUAAUUUCUUUAGAUUCUGUUUGGCUCUUGGGGAAGGAUUAGUAAAUGUCUACAGAUGGCUUUCAUCUGUAAGCAGUUUCUUUUAGUCUCUCUUCUCAGGUUUUUCCCAAGAACCAAAUAGGGGGUUUUAGAAAUAGCAUCCAGAUAAGUGGACGAGAACCCCUUCUGUAUUGGGUGAAGCCAAGCGUAAAUUCCAGCAAAUUCAGGGAGCCUAUUCAGUACUAUCAGACCAGAGGAAAAGAACAGUGUACAACACAGGCUUGUAUAACCCUAAUGAAGAGGAGGACGAGGGCUUCUCUGAUUUCUUGCAAGAAAUGAUAUCACUUACGACCAAUGUCAAGAGAGAGGGUAAGAUCUACAGUAGGGAGGAACUACAGACUAUGUUAAUGGAGAUGGUCCGAGACUGAGUCUCCUCAGCUGUUUUGUGGGGCCUCGAUUUUUUACAAUUCUCGGAGCAUGAAGAGAGGUCGAUGGGAAACGAAAUCAAUGGUGGACAGAAGUUCACGUAUCCCUGUGUAUGGGACCAGCAGUUAGUGCAGUUAAGGAACUGGGCGGUAGCAGUUUGCUUUGAACAAUCGAGUGUAUGGCUUUGAAGGAGAGAGUUGAUACAAGUUAUGGGGCGGAUCUGAUUGAUUGAUAAUCAAAGUUCCCAUGAUUUUUGGCUGUUUCCAGUAUUUACUGGUGCACAAAAUUGAAAUUGUCAAAACAUGAAAGCUGUAAUAGAGAACCAUCUUGAUCGAUCUGAGUCCGAAACUCAGUCCUCCGUUGUGUAAAAAUUUUGAAUGAGCUUUUUAAUGGAACCACUUUGAACUAGCUUGACUAU